rnacentral:rRNA from 1 species
UUCAACCUUCAAACCUGUGGAAGCGAACCGUGCUUCGGGGCUCUGGCCCCGCAUCUAUGCAGUAAAGUGUUUGUCUGAUUAAAAGCAAGAAUUAAAACUUUCAACAAAGGAUCUCUUGGCUCUCGCAUCGAUGAAGAACGCAGCGAAGCGCGAAAUGUAGUGUGAAUCGCAGACCAUUGUGAAUCAUCGAAUCUUUGAACGCACAUUGCGCCUCCCCUAACCGGGAGGCAUGCCUGUCUGAGCGUCAUUUAAACCAUAGCCCCUUUAUGGGUCUGUCUUGGGCCUCGCCCGUCGGCGUCGCCUCGAAGUCAUCGGUCUAAGAGCGGACGAGAUCCUUUGGGACUUACCGUUCUCGACCUUAAACCUCNGACUUGACCUCAGAUCAGGUAGGGCU